rnacentral:tRNA from 1 species
GCCCAGAUGGUGGAAUUGGUAGACACGCUGGUCUUAGAAGCCAGUGCCUCUGGUGUGAGAGUUCGAGUCUCUCUCUGGGCACCA